rnacentral:rRNA from 1 species
GAGUAAAGAUUUCGGUCGCUUUGGGAGGAGCUCGCUUACUAUCAGCUUGUUGGUAGGGUAAUGGCCUACCAAGGCUAUGACGGUUAGGGGGUGUGAGAGCAUGACCCCCAGCAUUGGCACUGAAACACUGGCCAAACACCUACGGGUGGCUGCAGUCGAGAAUCUUCCACAAUGGGGGAAACCCUGAUGGAGCGAUGCUGCGUGCGGGAUGAAGGCCUUCGGGUUGUAAACCGCUUUUGUAGGGGACGAAAUUUUUGACGGUACCCUUUCGAAUAAGAGGUUGCUAACUCUGUGCCAGCAGCAGCGGUAAUACAGAGACCUCAAGCGUUAUCCGGAUUUACUGGGCGUAAAGCGUCUGUAGGGGGUUUAUUAAGUUCCAAGUAUAAUUUCAAGGCUCAACUUUGAAUUCGCUUGGAAAACUAAUAAACUGGAGUCUAGCAGAGGUGCAUGGAACUUGUGGUGUAGGAGUGAAAUCCGUUGAUAUCACAAGGAACACCAAAGGCGAAGGCAUUGCACUGGGCUAGCACUGACCCUGAGAGACGAAAGCGUGGGGAGCAAAACGGAUUAGAUACCCGUGUAGUCCACGCCCUAAACGAUGAAUGCUAAAUGUUCGGGGAUUCGACCCCCUGGGUGUUACAGCUAACGCGUUAAGCAUUCCGCCUGGGAAGUACGGCCGCAAGGCUAAAACUCAAAGGAAUAGACGGGGAUCCGCACGAGCGGUGGAGCGUCUGGUUUAAUUCGACAGUAAGCGUGGUACCUCACCAGGGUUUGACAUCCCUUGACAGCCUUGGAAACAAGGUUUCCUUCGGGCAAGGUGACAGGUGCUGCAUGGUCGUCGUCAGUUCGUGCCGUGAGGUGUUCCGUUAAGUCGGGAAACGAACGAAACCCCUAUUGCAUGUUACAAUUUCUCAUGCAAGACUGCCCGGAUAUACUGGGAGGAAGGUGGGGAUGACGUCAGAUCUGCAUGGUCCUUAUACCCUGGGCGACACAGGCGCUACAAUGGCAGAGACAAAGGGUUGCAAAACCGCAAGGUGAAGCUAAUCCCAAAAACUUUGUCUAAGUUCGGAUUGAAGGCUGCAAUUCGCCUUCAUGAAGCUGGAAUCGCUAGUAAUCGUGAAUCAGCCACGUCACGGUGAAUAUGUUCCCGGAUCUUGUACUCACCGCCCG